AGAAGUCCCAUCACCUGCUCUGGUCCCUCGGUGGCAGGAAGCGUUGCUGAAGCUCUGGCUGAACCCAAGCAGUGACGUGGUGGGGAAAGCACUCGAGUGCGCUCCUUCCCUUCAGGUUUUCUUGGGGGACCCGCUUCCUUGUCCCCAGGCUGUGGUUCCAUGGAAGCACGAGGAGUCCAUGAGGAGUACGAGGGGUCUCUCCAAGGAAGCAGGCUGGGAGCUGGGACGUUUCUUUCAGCUCCCAGGUGCCACCCACUAAAGAGGACGUGGCCCAAGAGCCAUCUCCAGUGCCAGGGAGUCAAGAAAUGAAACUUCUGGGUGCUCUUUGGAUGACUGGCUGUCCUGCCUUCCUCCUGUCCUUACAGACCUCUGGAUCACGGUGUGCUGUCCUCUGCAGACCCCAGCAGCUCAGGAGCAGCACUCUGUCACCUGCCCUUUUCCACCUGAUCCCUGUCCCUGGGCUCAGCAGAAUUCUGUGCAGAAAACACUGCGAAUCUGCUGGCACAUGGAGAAUAAACGAGCAUUGGAGAAGGUAAAUUCAAAUUGUUUAAAAUCUGUGGG